rnacentral:RNase_MRP_RNA from 13 species
ACUCGAACACCGGGCGAAAAUCCCCGGGCAACGCGGCAGAGAGUGCCAGCCCUCGCGGGCGGGACCUCCGCGACGACGCGCGCCGCUCUCGCGGCGCGCGGCGCCGGAGCGGCUAGCCAUAACACAGUCAUGUGACCAGCGCGGAGACAACGCGCCAACUCAACGGGGUUUACUCUCGAC